rnacentral:misc_RNA from 1 species
GAAGCUGAAAAGAAUCUUGUUCAGUCAACUACAGUUGUGAAUGCAGGGUCAGGUGGACUUAUUAGCCCAUACUCUGGAGGGGCUAGGAGGUUGUAUGUUGGCAACCUGCACUUCAACAUAACAGAAGAUCUUCUUCGCCAGGUUUUUGAACCAUUUGGAACUGUAGAAUUGGUGCAAUUACCUUCUGAUGAAACUGGGCACUGCAAAGGCUUUG